rnacentral:rRNA from 1 species
UACGGAGGAUCCAAGCGUUAUCCGGAAUCAUUGGGUUUAAAGGGUCCGUAGGCGGUUUUAUAAGUCAGUGGUGAAAUCCGGCAGCUCAACUGUCGAACUGCCAUUGAUACUGUAGAACUUGAAUUAUUGUGAAGUAACUAGAAUAUGUAGUGUAGCGGUGAAAUGCUUAGAUAUUUACAUGGAAUACCAAUUGCGAAGGCAGGUUACUAAACAAUAUAUUUGACGCUGAUGGACGAAAGCGUGGGGGAGCGAACAGG